AACAGGGAUGCCCUAGUAACGGCGAGUGAAGCGGCAACAGCUCAAAUUUGAAAUCUGGCUUCGGCCCGAGUUGUAAUUUGCAGAGGAUGCUUUUGGCGCGGUGCCUUCCGAGUUCCCUGGAACGGGACGCCACAGAGGGUGAGAGCCCCGUAUGGUUGGACACUAAGCCUGUGUAAAGCUCCUUCGACGAGUCGAGUAGUUUGGGAAUGCUGCUCAAAAUGGGAGGUAAAUCUCUUCUAAAGCUAAAUACCGGCCAGAGACCGAUAGCGCACAAGUAGAGUGAUCGAAAGAUGAAAAGCACCUUGAAAAGGGGGUUAAAUAGUACGUGAAAUUGUUGAAAGGGAAGCGCUUGUGACCAGACUUGUGCCAGGCGGCUCAUCCGGCGUUCUCGCCGGUGCACUCCGCCUGGCUCAGGCCAGCAUCGGUUUUCGCGGGGGGAUAAGAGCGGCGGGAAUGUGGCUCCCUCCGGGGAGUGUUAUAGCCCGUUGCACGAUACCCUCGCGGGGACCGAGGUUCGCGCUCCGCAAGGAUGCUGGCGUAAUGGUCACCAGCGACCCGUCUUGAAACACGGACCAAGGAGUCGUCCAUUAGAGCGAGCGUUUGGGUGUAAAACCCGCACGCGUAAUGAAAGUGAACGUAGGUGAGAGCUUCGGCGCAUCAUCGACCGAUCCUGAUGUUCUCGGAUGGAUUUGAGUAAGAGUUCUAACGGACGGACCCGAAAGACAGUGAACUAUGCUUGUAUAGGGUGAAGCCAGAGGAAACUCUGGUGGAGGCUCGCAGCGGUUCUGACGUGCAAAUCGAUCGUCAAAUAUGAGCAUGGGGGCGAAAGACUAAUCG
rnacentral:rRNA from 1 species